AGAAUGAACGCUGGCGGCGUGCUUAACACAUGCAAGUCGAGCGAGGCCAGGGGGGCAACUCCCUGAGUCGAGCGGCGGACGGGUGAGUAACACGUGGGUAACCUACCCGGAAGUGGGGAAUACCUCGGGGAAACUCGAGCUAAUACCGCAUGACAUCUCGAGGACGAAAGUCCUUGUGAUCAAAGCGGGGCCGUAAGGCCUCGUGCUACCGGAUGGGCCCGCGCCCGAUUAGCUAGUUGGCGAGGUAAUGGCUCACCAAGGCGACGAUCGGUAACCGGCCUGAGAGGGCGAUCGGUCACACCGGAACUGAGACACGGUCCGACUCCUACGGGAGCAGCAGUGGGAAUCUUGCGCAAUGGGCGAAAGCCUGACGCAGCAACGCCGCGUGGAGGAUGAAGGCCCGUUGGGUUGUAAACGUCCUGUCGGCUGGGAAGUAACUCGUUCGCGACUAAUCUCGCGGACGUUGACUGUACCAGCAAAGGACGCCCCGG
rnacentral:rRNA from 1 species